AUUGAACGCUGGCGGCAGGCCUAACACAUGCAAGUCGAACGGUAACAGGAAGAAGCUUGCUUCUUUGCUGACGAGUGGCGGACGGGUGAGUAAUGUCUGGGAAACUGCCUGAUGGAGGGGGAUAACUACUGGAAACGGUAGCUAAUACCGCAUAACGUCGCAAGACCAAAGAGGGGGACCUUCGGGCCUCUUGCCAUCGGAUGUGCCCAGAUGGGAUUAGCUAGUAGGUGGGGUAACGGCUCACCUAGGCGACGAUCCCUAGCUGGUCUGAGAGGAUGACCAGCCACACUGGAACUGAGACACGGUCCAGACUCCUACGGGAGGCAGCAGUGGGGAAUAUUGCACAAAGGGCGCAAGCCUGAUGCAGCCAUGCCGCGUGUAUGAAGAAGGCCUUCGGGUUGUAAAGUACUUUCAGCGGGGAGGAAGGGAGUAAAGUUAAUACCUUUGCUCAUUGACGUUACCUGCAGAAGAAGCACCGGCUAACUCCGUG
rnacentral:rRNA from 1 species